UAGUGUAGUUAACACCUGCACUAUUUGACGUUACCUACAGAAGAAGCACCGGCUAACUCCGUGCCAGCAGCCGCGGUAAUACGGAGGGUGCGAGCGUUAAUUCGGAAUUACUGGGCGUAAAGCGCAUGCAGGCGGCCUCGUUAAGUUCAGAUGUGAAAGACCCGGGGCGUUAACCUUACCGGAAAUUGCAUUUGUAAACUAGGCAGGCUAGAGUCUUGUUAGAGGGGGGUAGGGAAUUUCUAGGUGUAGCGGUGAAAUAGCGUAGAGAUCUGAAGGAAUACCAGUGGCGAAGGCGGCCCCCUCGGACAAAGACUGACGCUCAGAUGCGAAAGCGUGGGGAGCAAACAGGAUUAGAUACCCUGGUAG
rnacentral:rRNA from 1 species